rnacentral:rRNA from 1 species
UACGUAGGCAGCAAGCGUUGUUCGGAAUUACUGGGCGUAAAGAGUGUGUAGGCGGUGCUCCAAGUCUGGUGUGAAAUCUCCCGGCUCAACUGGGAGGGUGCGCUAGAAACUGGAAUGCUAGAGGAUGGGAGAGGUAAGCGGAAUUCCUGGUGUAGCGGUGAAAUGCGUAGAUAUCAGGAGGAACACCUGUGGUGUAGACAGCUUACUGGACCAUUUCUGACGCUGAGACACGAAAGCGUGGGGAGCAAACAGG